GACGGAGGAUGCAAGUGUUAUCCGGAAUCAUUGGGCGUAAAGCGCGUGUAGGCGGCUCGAUAAGUCUGCUGUGAAAGUCCAGGGCUCAACCCUGGAAAGCCGGUGGAAACUGUCGGGCUAGAGUCCGGAAGGGGCGAGUGGAAUUCCUGGUGUAGCGGUGAAAUGCGCAGAUAUCAGGAGGAACACCAAUGGCGAAGGCAGCUCGCUGGGACGGUACUGACGCUGAGACGCGAAAGCGUGGGGAGCAAACAGG
rnacentral:rRNA from 1 species